AUUAAGUUGAAAAAAAAAUAUCAGAGUUCUAUUUCCACAAAGCACAUGCAUAAUUAAACGCAGCAAACAACCAGUUUAUGGCCUGGAUUCCCGGUUACGCAAUUCAGGCCACGGAAUCCCAAGCAACCAAACAAUCCAGAAAAAGCUAGGGUUUACGCUUUUCAGCUGAAGCAAAGAGAUAACAUAGAUCCUUGUAAUUUGUAAGCAGAUCUAGACAACACAUGAAAAUCAGAUAGGAGAAAGCAAAUCAAAAUAAUUGAGGUGGA
rnacentral:misc_RNA from 1 species